AAAAUUGUAUAUAUACAGUUUAGUACUAUCUGUGAUCUCAGGCAUCCACUGGGGGUCUUGGAAAAUAUUCCCUGUGAAUAAGGGAGGAGUACUAUAUAUGUUUUGGUAUUACCUUAUUGAAAUAUUUUGUAUACUUAUUUGUAUAUACAUGUCCUGUCAAAUUAAAUACUAUGCUUUAGUAAUUUCAUCUAGGAUUUCCAAAUAUUUAGCAUUAUAAAUUUUGACCCUAUGUUUUCUGGAAUUUAAAAUAACAUAAUUGGAAUGUCUUCAUUGGGGUUUGUGUACCUUAAUAAUAAAAGUAUCUUUUCAUGGGGUGUCUGGCUGGCUCAGUCAAAAAAGCAUUCAAGUCUUGACCUUGGAGUCAUGUGUUUGAGCACCACCUUGGGUGUAAAGAUUACUUAAUGCUUCACAGACCCUGCUUUUUCACAAAUUGAAGGUUUGUGGCAACCCUGUGUUAACCCAGUCUGUAGGUGCCAUUCUUCCAAGGGCAUUUUGCUGACUUCAUGUCUCUGUGUCACAUUUUGAAACUGCCACAGCUACUCCAACCUUCAGCAAACAUCACCCUGAUCAAUUAGCAGCCAUCAAUAUUGAAGCAAGACCCUCCACCAGCCAAAAAGAUGACUGUGAAAGCUCAGAUGAUGGUUAGCAAUUUUUAGCAAUAAAGCAUUUUUAAUUAA